rnacentral:rRNA from 1 species
GGCGAACGCUGGCGGCGUGCCUAAUACAUGCAAGUCGAGCGCAGGAAGCUGACGGAACUCUUCGGAGGGAAGGCAGCGGAAUGAGCGGCGGACGGGUGAGUAACACGUAAGGAACCUGCCUCAAGGAUUGGGAUAACUCCGAGAAAUCGGAGCUAAUACCGGAUAGUUCAACGGACCGCAUGGUCCGCUGAUGAAAGGCGCUCCGGCGUCACCUUGAGAUGGCCUUGCGGUGCAUUAGCUAGUUGGUGGGGUAACGGCCCACCAAGGCGACGAUGCAUAGCCGACCUGGGAGGGUGAUCGGCCACACGGGGACUGAGACACGGCCCAGACUCCUACGGGAGGCAGCAGUAGGGAAUCUUCCACAAUGGACGAAAGUCUGAUGGAGCAACGCCGCGUGAGUGAUGAAGGUUUUCGGAUCGUAAAACUCUGUUGUAAGGGAAGAACACGUACGAGAGGAAAUGCUCGUACCUUGACGGUACCUUACGAGAAAGCCACGGCUAACUACGUGCCAGCAGCCGCCGUAA